rnacentral:rRNA from 1 species
AAAAAAGGUAAGCUACUAAGAGCGAAUGGUGGAUGCCUUGACUGGUAAAGGCGAUGAAGGACGUACUAGACUGCGAUAAGCUACGGGGAGCUGUCAAGAAGCUUUGAUCCGUAGAUUUCCGAAUGGGGCAACCCAAUGUAUAGAGAUAUACAUUACCUAUAUAGGAGCGAACGAGGGGAAUUGAAACAUCUUAGUACCCUCAGGAAAAGAAAUCAAUAGAGAUUGCGUCAGUAGCGGCGAGCGAAAGCGCAAGAGGGCAAACCCAGUGCUUGCACUGGGGGUUGUAGGACUGCAAUGUGCAAGAGGUAAGUUUAGCAGAACAUUCUGGAAAGUAUAACCAUAGAGGGUGAUAGUCCCGUAUGCGAAAAACAAACCUUAGCUAGCAGUAUCCUGAGUAGGGCGGGACACGAGGAAUCCUGUCUGAAUCUGGGUCGACCACGAUCCAACCCUAAAUACUAAUACCAGAUCGAUAGUGCACAAGUACCGUGAGGGAAAGGUGAAAAGAACUGAGGUGAUCAGAGUGAAAUAGAACCUGAAACCAUUUGCUUACAAUCAUUCAGAGCCCUAUGUAGCAAUACAGGGUGAUGGACUGCCUUUUGCAUAAUGAGCCUGCGAGUUGUGGUGUCUGGCAAGGUUAAGCAAACGCGAAGCCGUAGCGAAAGCGAGUCUGAAUAGGGCGCUUAGUCAGAUGCUGCAGACCCGAAACGAAGUGAUCUAUCCAUGAGCAAGUUGAAGCUAGUGUAAGAACUAGUGGAGGACUGAACCCAUAGGCGUUGAAAAGCCCCGGGAUGACUUGUGGAUAGGGGUGAAAGGCCAAUCAAACUUCGUGAUAGCUGGUUCUCUCCGAAAUAUAUUUAGGUAUAGCGUUGUGUCGUAAUAUAAGGGGGUAGAGCACUGAAUGGGCUAGGGCAUACACCAAUGUACCAAACCCUAUCAAACUCCGAAUACCUUAUAUGUAAUCACAGCAGUCAGGCGGCGAGUGAUAAAAUCCGUCGUCAAGAGGGAAACAACCCAGACUACCAGCUAAGGUCCCUAAAUCUUACUUAAGUGGAAAACGAUGUGAAGUUACUUAAACAACCAGGAGGUUGGCUUAGAAGCAGCCAUCCUUUAAAGAAAGCGUAAUAGCUCACUGGUCUAGUGAUUUUGCGCGGAAAAUAUAACGGGGCUAAAGUAAGUACCGAAGCUGUAGACUUGCGCACAACUUAGAUUAUUUAAGUUUAGAAUAUGAGAAACUAAGUUAUAUGUUUAGUUAUAUUUUUACUGAUUUUUAUAGAGUAAAGAUAGAAAUAAAACUUAGUAAAAUCAGUAAAAAUAUUCUUAGACUAAAGUUAAGUAGUUUAAGUUGUGUGCAAGUGGUAGGAGAGCGUUCUAUUUGCGUCGAAGGUAUACCGGUAAGGAGUGCUGGAGCGAAUAGAAGUGAGCAUGCAGGCAUGAGUAGCGAUAAUUAAUGUGAGAAUCAUUAACGCCGUAAACCCAAGGUUUCCUACGCGAUGCUCGUCAUCGUAGGGUUAGUCGGGUCCUAAGUCGAGUCCGAAAGGGGUAGACGAUGGCAAAUUGGUUAAUAUUCCAAUACCAACAUUAGUGUGCGAUGGAAGGACGCUUAGGGCUAAGGGGGCUAGCGGAUGGAAGUGCUAGUCUAAGGUCGUAGGAGGUUAUACAGGCAAAUCCGUAUAACAAUACUCCGAGAACUGAAAGGCUUUUUGAAGUCUUCGGAUGGAUAGAAGAACCCCUGAUGCCGUCGAGCCAAGAAAAGUUUCUAAGUUUAGCUAAUGUUGCCCGUACCGUAAACCGACACAGGUGGGUGGGAUGAGUAUUCUAAGGCGCGUGGAAGAACUCUCUUUAAGGAACUCUGCAAAAUAGCACCGUA